ACCGCUUGUUACGAUUGGAAGUUCUGUCAAUGCUACAGUCAUCACUGAUACCAUAGAAUGUGGUAAUGCUUAAUUAAUCACAACUCCAAAUGGGCCACCAUUCACGAUCAGAUCUCUAGAAGUGGGGAAUGUUAGUGCUCAUACUGGUACAUGAAAAAAGCUGGACCUAAGUCCUAGUCCCUCAAUUACUCAAGGAAACUCAAGUAACUCUAUGGAGAAAACGAUCAAUAGAGAGACCAGCACAUGCACAGGCUCGAUUGUAAAUAAUCAGACUCGAAUAAAGCCAAUUGCAGAGGAGAAAGUAAGUCCGUCUUGGUGAAACUCUUUGCGAAAAUAGAUCUGCAGAAAAUGGUAUGAACUUAUU
rnacentral:lncRNA from 1 species